UAAUACAGAGGGUGCGAGCGUUAAUCGGAAUUACUGGGCGUAAAGGGUGCGUAGGUGGUUAAUUAAGUCAGGUGUGAAAUCCCUGGGCUUAACCUAGGAAUUGCAUUUGAAACUAAUUAACUAGAGUGUGGUAGAGGGAAGUGGAAUUUCCGGUGUAGCGGUGAAAUGCGUAGAUAUCGGAAGGAACAUCAGUGGCGAAGGCGACUUCCUGGACCAUUACUGACACUGAGGCACGAAAGCGUGGGGAGCGAACAGGAUUAGAUACCCUGGUAGUCCACGCCGUAAACGAUGAGAACUAGAUGUUAGAGGGCUUCGGUUCUUUAGUAUCGCAGCUAACGCGAUAAGUUCUCCGCCUGGGGAGUACGGCCGCAAGGUUA
rnacentral:rRNA from 1 species